AGCUGACAAUGCACACAUUUUAAGUAUACAGUUAGUUGUGUUUAGGCAAAUCAGGAUAGUAAACAUUUUUAUAACUCCAGAAAGUUGCCUCAUCCAUUUUAUGCUUUUUAUUUUAAACUUUUUUUUUCCUACCAGAUGUUGAGACAUCUCACAUGAAAUCUGAAGAGCCUCCUGGGAAUCUUACUACUGUGAAUAGCCAUGAUUUCCUGGCUCCGAUAGACAGAAACUACUUUGUUAAAUUAUGGGACAAGCUUUCAGCCGGAAAAACACCAGCGGAGAGCGUUUCUCUGUAUAAACGGCAUGAGACAGCCCGGAAGGCCCUAGUGGGAAAGAUACCUGCUGAUUACACACUCCUGUUUCAUAGGUAAUGAUUUAUCAGAUUUAUUUACACCUGAGCAUCUGUAGAUUG
rnacentral:lncRNA from 1 species